GAUUGAACGCUGGUGGCAGGCCUAACACAUGCAAGUCGAGCGGAUGAAGGGAGCUUGCUCCUGGAUUCAGCGGCGGACGGGUGAGUAAUGCCUAGGAAUCUGCCUGGUAGUGGGGGAUAACGUCCGGAAACGGGCGCUAAUACCGCAUACGUCCUGAGGGAGAAAGUGGGGGAUCUUCGGACCUCACGCUAUCAGAUGAGCCUAGGUCGGAUUAGCUAGUUGGUGGGGUAAAGGCCUACCAAGGCGACGAUCCGUAACUGGUCUGAGAGGAUGAUCAGUCACACUGGAACUGAGACACGGUCCAGACUCCUACGGGAGGCAGCAGUGGGGAAUAUUGGACAAUGGGCGAAAGCCUGAUCCAGCCAUGCCGCGUGUGUGAAGAAGGUCUUCGGAUUGUAAAGCACUUUAAGUUGGGAGGAAGGGCAGUAAGUUAAUACCUUGCUGUUUUGACGUUACCAACAGAAUAAGCACCGGCUAACUUCGUG
rnacentral:rRNA from 1 species